rnacentral:rRNA from 1 species
UACAGAGGGUGCAAGCGUUAAUCGGAAUUACUGGGCGUAAAGGGCUCGUAGGUGGCCAACUAAGUCAGACGUGAAAUCCCUCAGCUUAACUGGGGAACUGCGUCUGAUACUGGAUGGCUUGAGUUUGGGAGAGGGACGCGGAAUUCCUGGUGUAGCGGUGAAAUGCGCAGAUAUCAGGAGGAACACCGGUGGCGAAGGCGGAUCUCUGGGCCGUACCUGACGCUGAGGCGCGAAAGCUAGGGGAGCGAACAGG